AAAGGUAAGCUACUAAGAGCGAAUGGUGGAUGCCUUGACUGGUAAAGGCGAUGAAGGACGUACUAGACUGCGAUAAGCUACGGGGAGCUGUCAAGAAGCUUUGAUCCGUAGAUUUCCGAAUGGGGCAACCCAAUGUAUAGAGAUAUACAUUACCUAUAUAGGAGCGAACGAGGGGAAUUGAAACAUCUUAGUACCCUCAGGAAAAGAAAUCAAUAGAGAUUGCGUCAGUAGCGGCGAGCGAAAGCGUAAGAGGGCAAACCCAGUGCUUGCACUGGGGGUUGUAGGACUGCAAUGUGCAAGAGGUGAGUUUAGCAGAACAUUCUGGAAAGUAUAGCCAUAGAGGGUGAUAGUCCCGUAUGCGAAAAACAAACCUUAGCUAGCAGUAUCCUGAGUAGGGCGGGACACGAGAAAUCCUGUCUGAAGCUGGGUCGACCACGAUCCAACCCUAAAUACUAAUACCAGAUCGAUAGUGCACAAGUACCGUGAGGGAAAGGUGAAAAGAACUGAGGUGAUCAGAGUGAAAUAGAACCUGAAACCAUUUGCUUACAAUCAUUCAGAGCACUAUGUAGCAAUACAGUGUGAUGGACUGCCUUUUGCAU
rnacentral:rRNA from 1 species